AUUGAACGCUGGCGGCAGGCUUAACACAUGUAAGUCGAGCGAGGUGAGGUGCUUCGGUACUGAUCCUAGCGGCGGACGGGUGAGUAAUGCUUAGGAAUCUGCCAUUUAGUGGGGGACAACAUUCCGAAAGGGAUGCUAAUACCGCAUACGUCCUACGGGAGAAAGCAGGGGAUCUUCGGACCUUGCGCUAAAUGAUGAGCCUAAGUCGGAUUAGCUAGUUGGUGGGGUAAAGGCCUACCAAGGCGACGAUCUGUAGCGGGUCUGAGAGGAUGAUCCGCCACACUGGGACUGAGACACGGCCCAGACUCCUACGGGAGGCAGCAGUGGGGAAUAUUGGACAAUGGGCGGAAGCCUGAUCCAGCCAUGCCGCGUGUGUGAAGAAGGCCUUUUGGUUGUAAAGCACUUUAAGCGAGGAGGAGGCUACCUAGAUUAAUACUCUGGGAUAGUGGACGUUACUCGCAGAAUAAGCACCGGCUAACUCUGUGCCAGCCGCCGCAGUAA
rnacentral:rRNA from 1 species